AAAUUGAAGAGUUUGAUCAUGGCUCAGAUUGAACGCUGGCGGCAGGCCUAACACAUGCAAGUCGAACGGUAACAGGAAGCAGCUUGCUGCUUCGCUGACGAGUGGCGGACGGGUGAGUAAUGUCUGGGAAACUGCCUGAUGGAGGGGGAUAACUACUGGAAACGGUAGCUAAUACCGCAUAACGUCGCAAGACCAAAGAGGGGGACCUUCGGGCCUCUUGCCAUCGGAUGUGCCCAGAUGGGAUUAGCUAGUAGGUGGGGUAACGGCUCACCUAGGCGACGAUCCCUAGCUGGUCUGAGAGGAUGACCAGCCACACUGGAACUGAGACACGGUCCAGACUCCUACGGGAGGCAGCAGUGGGGAAUAUUGCACAAUGGGCGCAAGCCUGAUGCAGCCAUGCCGCGUGUAUGAAGAAGGCCUUCGGGUUGUAAAGUACUUUCAGCGGGGAGGAAGGCGUUGUGGUUAAUAACCACAGCGAUUGACGUUACCCGCAGAAGAAGCACCGGCUAACUCCGUGCCAGCAGCCGCGGUAAUACGGAGGGUGCAAGCGUUAAUCGGAAUUACUGGGCGUAAAGCGCACGCAGGCGGUCUGUCAAGUCGGAUGUGAAAUCCCCGGGCUCAACCUGGGAACUGCAUUCGAAACUGGCAGGCUAGAGUCUUGUAGAGGGGGGUAGAAUUCCAGGUGUAGCGGUGAAAUGCGUAGAGAUCUGGAGGAAUACCGGUGGCGAAGGCGGCCCCCUGGACAAAGACUGACGCUCAGGUGCGAAAGCGUGGGGAGCAAACAGGAUUAGAUACCCUGGUAGUCCACGCCGUAAACGAUGUCGACUUGGAGGUUGUGCCCUUGAGGCGUGGCUUCCGGAGCUAACGCGUUAAGUCGACCGCCUGGGGAGUACGGCCGCAAGGUUAAAACUCAAAUGAAUUGACGGGGGCCCGCACAAGCGGUGGAGCAUGUGGUUUAAUUCGAUGCAACGCGAAGAACCUUACCUACUCUUGACAUCCAGAGAACUUAGCAGAGAUGCUUUGGUGCCUUCGGGAACUCUGAGACAGGUGCUGCAUGGCUGUCGUCAGCUCGUGUUGUGAAAUGUUGGGUUAAGUCCCGCAACGAGCGCAACCCUUAUCCUUUGUUGCCAGCGGUUAGGCCGGGAACUCAAAGGAGACUGCCAGUGAUAAACUGGAGGAAGGUGGGGAUGACGUCAAGUCAUCAUGGCCCUUACGAGUAGGGCUACACACGUGCUACAAUGGCGCAUACAAAGAGAAGCGACCUCGCGAGAGCAAGCGGACCUCAUAAAGUGCGUCGUAGUCCGGAUUGGAGUCUGCAACUCGACUCCAUGAAGUCGGAAUCGCUAGUAAUCGUGGAUCAGAAUGCCACGGUGAAUACGUUCCCGGGCCUUGUACACACCGCCCGUCACACCAUGGGAGUGGGUUGCAAAAGAAGUAGGUAGCUUAACCUUCGGGAGGGCGCUUACCACUUUGUGAUUCAUGACUGGGGUGAAGUCGUAACAAGGUAACCGUAGGGGAACCUGCGGUUGGAUCACCUCCUUACCUUAAAGAA
rnacentral:rRNA from 1 species